GUCAGGAAGGUUUGCACCCAGCCCUGCCUGGCUCUCGGUACUCCAGGCCCCUGUGUGUGCUCCAGCUACACGCCUGCGGCUGCCAUAGCUCACGCACCUGUGUGCAGAUUCUGUGUGAGCAGGCAUGCAUGGUCCCACGCAUGCUCCCCCUCAGAAAGGCCCAGCCGGGCACGGGGGCUGCUCAGGCUCUGAGGAGGAUUUUUACCAUCAGUUUGACAGAAGAGGAGCCUGAGGUCAGAGAGGUGGACAGAAGAGCCAAAGCCACAAGCUCUGGCUGGAUGGGACAGAUCAUGCCUACAGAGAAGAUGUAUUUAUAUCCUAAAUUCUUCAAUUUCAGAGGAUGCCCUGCCUUCUAAAGUCCAAACUGAUCUAUCCCGCCUCCCAGAAAUUUACAUAGCCC